rnacentral:lncRNA from 1 species
CAAAAAGUAGCCUGUCGCCCAAUUUGAAAUUUUUGUAGCGAGGGUACUUAAAAAAAUCGCCCAAUCUGCAACUUGUAGCCCAAUGUAGCAACUCUGCGGCUGAGCCGGCAUCCACGCCAGACACGUAUUGGAGAGUGAAGGUGCAACGCGAGAAAAAGGAAUGCGGGAAGACAGCGACACACGCACACAGGCAAUGACGUUGAAGGGGUCUGCCCUUGGGGAUUUUUCGCCCUGCAAGAGUGUGGCCGAGUUAUCCGGAGUGCCGGGUGAUCGAGAGCCGAGUUUUCGGGACUCUACUGUAUCUUCAAAAAAUUAUACUAUUAUUACAUUGGAGGCACAGCUACAUUUAUUGCUAUUUAACAUAAAAUUGUAACUUUCUAAUGACAAUUUCUUGAAAUUUAUGGAUUAUCAAAUUAAACUAUAU